rnacentral:lncRNA from 1 species
CCUGGGUUUUCCUGACUCCAGGUUGUUCCCUCAGCCCUGGCUGAUGACGUCAAGUCCUGGAGCCUUUGACCUCCGACAGCCUCUGCCUCCCUUCCUCUGUCUGCCUCCAGCAUCCGUUUCUGUUGCUGAUGUCGGUGUCUGAGAUGCAGGCAUCUCCCUAACUUGCCAGGCUUGAUGAAGCUCAGUGGAUUUCUUUUAGUGAUGAUGGACAUAAUUAAUUUAGCAGAGGAGAUGCCUCAUUGCUGCCAGUGUCAAAUAAAAACGAGAAGGAAGACAGGUUGCACUCUAGCUCUGAACACGACGAUGAGCUCAGUCAGCCGGAGGGUCAAGUAUUCUUGGAAGAGGGAGGACCCCAGCUGAGGGCCUGGUUUGUUCUUAGCAAUGCCUCACGUGCACCUUGUCCUAAGCAGCAAGCAAUGAUGACAGCAGGCAUGGAGGCUGGGCCAUGGAAAGUGAGUGCUUGAUCCAGGCAGGUGAAAACAUUCCUGAGAAUAUGUCAGUAAGUGGCAUGCCAUUCAUUGGUUCUCAAACUUCAGUGUCUAUAUAGAUAAUCUAGAAGGCAUGCUUAAAAAAAUCCAGAUGCCUUCACCACAUUCCCAGAAGUUUAAAUUCAGUCUCUUUGGAGAGGGUCUUGGGAUCCUGAUGUUUAUCAGUCGUUCCACAUGAUUCUGGUGCAGAAGGUUCCAGAAACAUCGGCACAAGGGUUAUGUGCAUGAGCUCUGGAGUUUUUCAGUUGUGGUUUUGAAGCUGGUAUGACUCAACACAAGAGAUCUAGCCUCCUUAGUCUUUGCUUCCUCCUGCUGUGGAAUAAGCUGUAAUAUACCCACCUCAGAGGGUUAUUGAGGAACAUAUAGGACCACGCACAUAACAUUGCUUUACUUUUGAAUUGACAGUUUGCCAAGAGUAGGAGGCUCAGCCUUCAGGUGGAGGACCAGUCAGCAAUACUUGAACAGUUGCUUGGGGCUCCAAGUCCAGCAGAUGCCAACUCCAUCAGCAGGACCAACCACUCAGUCCUUCAAGGUUCAGCUGGGACAUCAUUGCCUCCAAGAAGCCUUCCUGUGGCUUUAUGCCUUGAGCUCCCACUACCUGCUGCAUCCCCUUCUAUGGAAACAUUUUUCACAUUGCACCAAAACAGUCUGCUGCUAUAUUUCUCUCCCUGAGCUGGACUGUGAGCUCUUCAGUGGAAGGGACAGUCUUGCUCAUCCUUGCUUCUCUAGGACCCAGCAUAUAGUGCAUUUUGCAUAGCUGUAAUCAGAAUAUCGAAGCAAUCUUGUAUUGCUUUUGCCUUCCCUUCACACAGUAAGCAUUUGUCAUGGUCUGCAGUCUUUAUCCUUAGCAUUUCUAAGGGUGCCUAAUGUUCUAUAGAAGUGUUGCUCUCUGAAUGUUUGAACUGUUCCCUUAUUAAAAGUCCUCCUUUAUUUGCUAUUAUAAAUAAUGUUGAGGAGAACCUUGUGUCCCUCCCUGGUUUGUACAGUGGACUGCUGCAGAUUAUCAAGAAAACCACUUGAUUCUAAUAGUAAAUAAUUUAAAUAGAUAAUUGUAAGAAGGUGGGAUGCAAUCCCCAACCACAUAAAAAAAUAGUCAACCUUACUAGGUAUAAAAUGCAAAAUAAAAUGAUGCCUGAUGUUCUAUCUACUAAAUUAGCAAACUUGAAAAUAAUGGUAAUUUCAAGCACUGAUAAUGACAUUAAGAAUUAGGCGCACUUGUUUAAACAUUGUCUUUGGGAGUGGAAAUUAGCACUAUUUGGCAAUGGGUUUAAAGAUUGGUAAUCCCACUGCUUGGCACACCAUGGUAAAGAAAUGACUUCUUGUACAAAUUGGAAGAAAUCGCAAGGCUGUUAAUGGUUACUCAUACUCUUUUGCAACACAGAGUCAUCUUCCCUGUAGAGAAGGCAGCUUCCGUAGCAUUCUAGCCCUGCAUGGUAUGAGUUCCAGACUGGAGGUGGAGGGAGAGAUAAGAGCAGCCUCCAUGAAGAUGUGAUGCUUGAUCUGAGACUUGCAGGGUCGGCAGCUCCUUGGCCAACAGAAGGGAGAGUGGGAAAAGGGAGAGAAUGUUAGUGGACCCCCCGGUGUGUAGAAGUUCAGCAAGAUUAAAAGCCAAUACAAGCAGUGCUUGGAAAUAAAGCAGAACCAUGCACCCAGCAACACCUUUGAUCUCGACCAUAUGGAGCCCCACCAAGCUCUGGAAAAAAAAUCUCCCUUGCCUCCACAGCCGGCCGAGAGAAGCGGGGGCCCCCAGAUGGCCAGAUACCAUGGGCGCCCGCACCCCAUGGCUUGUCUUGUCUUCUGAUUGGUCCCCAGUGCAAAGGCAGGGGACUCGCUUCUCACGCUGGAGGCAAAUCCGUGUCCCCAACGUUGGUGAGGUUGACAGUUUUCACAACUCGGUUUUGGGGGGGAAAUAUUUGAGUAAACAGCCCUGACCCUGUUGGGUUUGUUUUAGAGUGGAAUCUCACCAUCAGGACAGAGCAAAAAUGUCAUGGGCCCCUAGACCAGUGUGGAAAGCUCACUAAACCAUUUUUCCAGCUGAGGCUUUUUCCUCUCUUUCUUUUGUUAAAUCCUUGGGUCUCUAACUUUGCUGAUCAUCGUCUUGAGAAUUGACCACAUGGGAAGACUGAUUUACACACUGGGUCAGCCUGAGAAGGAAAAAGCCCAUGACCAAUGACAUCGGGGGGCCCAGAGGGAAGCCGGCUGAGGCAGAGGGAGCAAGUGGGCCGUGGCCAAGGGCCAAGGACCUGCAUCCUCAUCUUCCUCUCACCAGCAUGGGGAUUGGCAGGUUUAAGAGGCAGUUAGGAGAGGCAGGUGUGAGUAAUGGGAACAGCACUGGCUUUCACCAAGCAACCAGGUUCACGACAGCCGUCAUGUGACCUCGGGCACGUGACUCCACCUCUCUGUGAGGCAGUUUGCUCAUGGAUUCUUCUGCAAUUCUGAAACAUGAAAGUGCCAAAAGUCAACGCUUUGAUAAUUUCAUAGCAGACUCAUGUGGUGGCAAAGCCUGACCUGAGCUGACGUGAGACUAUUUGUAAUCUUUAUUUAUGCUGCUUAAUGCAGGUACUCAUUCAUUCUGCUGUGGAAAUAGUCCUGUCUGGGACAGUCGAAGGCUGCCCUAGACUCCAUUGGGAUAUUAUAUGUUUACUUUUGUAAAAUCCAAAAUAUCCUGGAUUCUAAACCACACUGGGCCCCAGGAAUUUAAGAAUAGGGAUUUUGGACCAGAGCCUUCCUCUGGGAUGUCAGUUAAUCAACCUAGAGCAGUGAUUCUCUCCAGGGUGAUUUUAUUCCCCAGGGAACAUGUACCAAUACCUGGAGACAUUUUUUAUGAUUGUAAUGUGUGUGUAGGGUUCCCACUGGCGUCUACUAGGCAGAGUCCAGGGAUGCUGCCAAACAUCCUACAAUACCAUAGGACAGACAAAGAAUACUCCAGUCCCAAAUGCCCAUCAUGCUGAGGGUGGGAAACCCUAAUCCAUAGAAUAGUACACAUUCUAGCUUUAUUCUUAUUUCACCACUCUGAGCUCCUCUUCCUUCAUCUGCCAAUUGGAGGGCAUGAACAACUGCCUCCAAGAGUUCUGGGGAAACCGUAUGAGACAGUAGACGUGACUGUGCCUUCUGAACUUUACCGCUCAAUAGAAAAAUGAAAGACAGUUUACUCAUUCAAAAAAUAAA